AGUUCAUAAUCAUGAGUCAGGAGUCCAGUGCAAAGUGGUUUGUGUUUGCUCUUUGUUUUGUUAAAAUUUUGCCUCAUCUGGUGAAUUUUGUGGAAAGGACGGGAAGAGGGAGAGCAGCUUCCAGGCAGAACUACCAGUUCCUGACUCUGGGUGGCUGGGAAGAAGCUGCUGAACCUCAACCAGAGAUCCUCUUCGAAUUGCUCCAUGUCUUCCUCAAAAUGUGGUGCCCAACAUGGAAUAAAGAAACCCAGCCAAGGCCAGAGGAGUGUGGGAGGAUUAUUUCCCAUGUCUUACUAUUUCCCCAAUGUCUGCCAGUGCUCAAAUCCAGGAGAGAAGAAGAUGUUUUCUACUGCUGUUAUAGAUGGAUGCUGCUGAUGAAUCAGCACGUGAAAUUGGGUAAUUAAUGAUCUUUGGAAUAACCAGCUCCCUCCAGGUUUCAGUUUUACCUGAAGGGAUGAUGUGCCAGCAAAGGAGAAAUGCAAGAUACAUUAAAAUAAUACAGCAAUGGAGUAAAUUUCAGGAAAA